AGAUAGAAAUUGACCUGGCUCACGCCGGUNUGAANUCAGA
rnacentral:rRNA from 1 species